UACUCCAACCCCUGUGAACAUACCACUUGUUGCCUCGGCGGAUCAGCCCGCUCCCGGUAAAACGGGACGGCCCGCCAGAGGACCCCUAAACUCUGUUUCUAUAUGUAACUUCUGAGUAAAACCAUAAAUAAAUCAAAACUUUCAACAACGGAUCUCUUGGUUCUGGCAUCGAUGAAGAACGCAGCAAAAUGCGAUAAGUAAUGUGAAUUGCAGAAUUCAGUGAAUCAUCGAAUCUUUGAACGCACAUUGCGCCCGCCAGUAUUCUGGCGGGCAUGCCUGUUCGAGCGUCAUUUCAACCCUCAAGCACAGCUUGGUGUUGGGACUCGCGUUAAUUCGCGUUCCCCAAAUUGAUUGGCGGUCACGUCGAGCUUCCAUAGCGUAGUAGUAAAACCCUCGUUACUGGUAAUCGUCGCGGCCACGCCGUUAAACCCCAACUUCUGAAUGUUGACCUCGGAUCAGGUAGGAAUACCCGCUGAACUUAAGCAUAUCAUAAGCCCCGGAGAAA
rnacentral:rRNA from 1 species